rnacentral:rRNA from 1 species
AUCGAACGCUGGCGGCAUGCUUUACACAUGCAAGUCGAACGGUAACAGGCCGCAAGGUGCUGACGAGUGGCGAACGGGUGAGUAAUGCAUCGGAACGUGCCCAGUCGUGGGGGAUAACGCAGCGAAAGCGGCGCUAAUACCGCAUACGAUCUAUGGAUGAAAGCGGGGGACCGUAAGGCCUCGCGCGAUGGGAGCGGCCGAUGUCAGAUUAGGUAGUUGGGGGGGUAAAGGCUCACCAAGCCAACGAUCUGUAGCUGGUCUGAGAGGACGACCAGCCACACUGGGACUGAGACACGGCCCAGACUCCUACGGGAGGCAGCAGUGGGGAAUUUUGGACAAUGGGCGCAAGCCUGAUCCAGCAAUGCCGCGUGCAGGAAGAAGGCCUUCGGGUUGUAAACUGCUUUUGUACGGAACGAAACGGUCCUGGUUAAUACCCGGGGCUAAUGACGGUACCGUAAGAAUAAGCACCGGCUAACUACGUGCCAGCCGCCGCCGUAAGAC